AAGAACAGAGAGAAAAAAGAGGAAUUUUACAAAAGGAAAAAAAAAUGAAAAA
rnacentral:sRNA from 1 species